rnacentral:rRNA from 1 species
GAUGAACGCUGGCGGCGUGCCUAAUACAUGCAAGUCGAGCGAACAGACGAGGAGCUUGCUCCUCUGACGUUAGCGGCGGACGGGUGAGUAACACGUGGAUAACCUACCUAUAAGACUGGGAUAACUUCGGGAAACCGGAGCUAAUACCGGAUAAUAUAUUGAACCGCAUGGUUCAAUAGUGAAAGACGGUUUUGCUGUCACUUAUAGAUGGAUCCGCGCCGCAUUAGCUAGUUGGUAAGGUAACGGCUUACCAAGGCAACGAUGCGUAGCCGACCUGAGAGGGUGAUUGGCCACACUGGAGCUGAGACACGGUCCAGACUCCUACGGGAGGCAGCAGUAGGGAAUCUUCCGCAAUGGGCGAAUGCCCAACGGAGCAACGCCGCGUGAGUGAUGAAGGUCUUCGGAUCGUAAAACUCUGUUAUUAGGGAAGAACAAAUGUGUAAGUAACUAUGCACGUCUUGACGGUACCUAAUCAGAAAGCCACGGCUAACUACGUG